rnacentral:rRNA from 1 species
GACGAACGCUGGCGGCGCGCUUAACACAUGCAAGUCGAACGGAAAGGCCUGCUUUCCCUUGUGGAUUGCGGGUACUCGAGUGGCGAACGGGUGAGUAACACGUGAGUGAUCUGCCCCCAACUUGGGUAUAAGCCUGGGAAACUGGGUCUAAUUCCCGAUAGGACUGCAGGGUGGUGCCUGUGGUGGAAAACGAUUUUCUAGUGGUUGGGGAUGAGCUCGCGGCCUAUCAGCUUGUUGGUGGGGUAAUGGCCUACCAAGGCGGCGACGGGUAGCCGGCCUGAGAGGGUGGACGGCCACAUUGGGACUGAGAUACGGCCCAGACUCCUACGGGAGGCAGCAGUGGGGAAUAUUGCACAAUGGGCGGAAGCCUGAUGCAGCGACGCCGCGUGGGGGAUGACGGCCUUCGGGCUGUAAACUCCUUUCGACCGCGAGGAAGCCACCUGGUGGGAAGGGUGGUGACGGUAGUGGUAGAAGAAGCACCGGCUAACUACGUGC